rnacentral:rRNA from 1 species
CCUACGGGCGGCAGCAGUGGGGGAUAUUGGACAAUGGGGGGAACCCUGAUCCAGCGACGCCGCGUGAGUGAAGAAGUAUUUCGGUAUGUAAAGCUCUGUCAGCAGGGAAGAAAGAAAUGACGGUACCUGACCAAGAAGCCCCGGCUAACUACGUGCCAGCAGCCGCGGUAAUACGUAGGGGGCAAGCGUUAUCCGGAAUUACUGGGUGUAAAGGGGGCGUAGACGGUUAAGUAAGUCUGGAGUGAAAGGCCGGGGCCCAACCCCGGGACUGCUCUGGAAACUAUUGAACUUGAGUGCAGGAGAGGUAAGCGGAAUUCCUAGUGUAGCGGUGAAAUGCGUAGAUAUUAGGAGGAACACCAGUGGCGAAGGCGGCUUACUGGACUGUAACUGACGUUGAGGCUCGAAAGCGUGGGGAGCAAACAGGAUUAGAUACCCUAGUAGUC